GACACUAGGAAGGAUGGCAGGUCUACACUACAGCCAGGAUCGACGCUCUGAGAUCAAUCCACCAGCAGUCAAUUUAGCAGCUCUAGUAAAGACCCACAAAUCAUCUGCAGCUCGCUCUCCACUUGACCCUUGUAUU